AUUGAACGCUGGCGGCAGGCCUAACACAUGCAAGUCGAACGAGUGGCGGACGGGUGAGUAAUGUCUGGGACACUGCCUGAUGGAGGGGGAUAACUACUGGAAACGGUAGCUAAUACCGCAUACCAUCGGAUGUGCCCAGAUGGGUUUAGCUAGUAGGUGGGGUAAAGGCUCACCUAGGCGACGAUCCCUAGCUGGUCUGAGAGGAUGACCAGCCACACUGAAACUCAGACACGGUCAAGACGCCUACGGUAGGCAGCAGGGGGGAAGAUGGCACAAUGGGCGAAAGCGUGAUGCAGCCAUGCCGCGUGUAUGAAGAAGGCCUUCGGGUUGUAAAGUACUAUCAGCGGGGAGGCGUUACCCGCAGAAGAAGCACCGGCUAACUCCGUGCCAGCAGCCGCGGUAAUAC
rnacentral:rRNA from 1 species